UGGGGAAUAUUGGACAAUGGGGGGAACCCUGAUCCAGCCAUGCCGCGUGUGUGAAGAAGGCCUUAUGGUUGUAAAGCACUUUAAGCGAGGAGGAGGGUACUGGUAUUAAUACUACCAGGUACUGGACGUUACUCGCAGAAUAAGCACCGGCUAACUCUGUGCCAGCAGCCGCGGUAAUACAGAGGGUGCGAGCGUUAAUCGGAUUUACUGGGCGUAAAGCGUGCGUAGGCGGCUAAUUGAGUCGGAUGUGAAAUCCCCGAGCUUAACUUGGGAAUUGCAUUCGAUACUGGUUAGCUAGAGUGUGGGAGAGGAUGGUAGAAUUCCAGGUGUAGCGGUGAAAUGCGUAGAGAUCUGGAGGAAUACCGAUGGCGAAGGCAGCCAUCUGGUCUAACACUGACGCUGAGGUACGAAAGCAUGGGGAGCAAACAGG
rnacentral:rRNA from 1 species